AGUGUGCCUGAAUACUAUGACUACACUCAUGGAGUCAGCGAGGACGCCUACAACAGCUACGCACCAGAAGAAUGGGCCACUACCCGCUCCAGCUUGAAGGCACCGCUGUCAAGGUCAAGCAGAGGGGGAUACAGGGAACACCCCUACGUAGAUAUUGAAGGUCCUUCUCACCUGUGACCUCACUCAAAGACAAUUCAUAGCCUGUGGGCUCCACAUAAACAGCAGCAAGACAAGUAAUAGUCCUUUUUUGUUUGUUUUUUCUGUUCUGGGGUUAACUGCUCAUGAUUACUCCUAUAUAUUUCUUGUAUUUCCCUCUAUACUGUUGGCGUGACAGGGACAGUACUGUUAUUUUACAAAACAGAUUGACAGAGAAAUUGGCAAGUGUAGUCUAUAAACCAUUCAGUAGGAUGAUUCUCUCUUGGUUGUUUUUCCUUGUUGUGUGUAAUCUUUUCUUUUUCUUUUUCUUUUUUUUAAAAGAAAGAGCAUGAAUCUGUUAACAGAUUUUGAGUCUCAACCAACUAGCAGAAACUUGUUUAGGGUUGCUAAAAGACUGUAUAUGAUUUUUGAACUAGCUGAUAAUAGAGUUGUAGAUAAGAUGUUUAAUCUGUCUUUUAAUAUCUGUCAGUUAGACGAAGAUGUUCAAUAUUAAGUUUGUAAAUUUAAUUUUAAAUGCUGUUUUAAUGGGGUUGAAAACAAGCAGCUACUGUAUGUAUGUAGCUAACUGAAUUUGUUCAGUGUUUAACCUGUAUUUGUUAAAAAAGAAAAAAAAACACACAUAAAGUUCCAUGUGUGCUUCUCUAAAUAGGAAAACACCAUUUGUCAAAUAUGUUUGCCAUAAUUUGUCAAUAAAGCUGAAAACUUUUGUAAAAACUAAAUUUGGAAUUACUUGUUUCUAGAUCUAAAUGCCUGCUUUAUUUCUUCUUCAAGACAUGCUUAAAAUGUUUACGAUUUAAAAAUUACAAAAAUGAACCCAAGCCUGUUUUAAGAUAUUUGUGUAAUACUUAAAAUGUAUUAAUAACUUUUGGUUGUUAAAUAAUUUAAAAGUUAAAAACUAAACUGUUACAUGAGUCAUGGUUAGUAAACACUAAUGUAUAAACAUGUUAAUGGGAAAGAUGGGUUUAAAAUAAUAAAUGAUUUUAAACCAU